UUUUAUUUACAUACAACUAUAUAUGAUAAACUACUAUACAAGGUGACUCUAUAUGAAUACAUUUGGCAGUGUACCAAGAUGUCCAAUGAUAUAGUGUAACAUGUAGGUAAUGAUGAGUGGUGGCUUUUCCAUUAAAUACUAUGUGAGCUACAUGAUCAUGCAAAGCAAUAUGAUAAUGAACACCCAAGUCAUGUGACAGAACAGUGGAAGUUACAUGGCAAUAUAUCUCGGAAUGGCUAUCGAAAUGCCAUGAUAGGUAGGCAUGGUGGUUGUUUUCAGGAAGAUAUAACAUGGAUUAUUGGUGAUAGAUCAUAUCAUAUCAUGGGGUUUGGAUGCACCAGCGAAGGUUGCACCAAUCCUUGAGGUGACAAUGGGUAAUGCACAUACCAAAGACGCUAGCAAAUAGAAAAAGGUGAGUGUGUGCAUAUCCAUGGAUUCACAUAAGUCAUAAAGAAGUCAUAUACUUAUUGCAAAUCCUAUUAGCUCUCUUUAAGCAAAGUAUUACCACAUACCCCUAGGAAGAAGGUUGGUAGCAGUUCACCAUCGCAUGCCUCCGAACCAAAUAACAC
rnacentral:lncRNA from 1 species